rnacentral:rRNA from 1 species
CGAGCGCAACCCUUGUCCCUAGUUGCUACGCAAGAGCACUCUAGGGGGACUGCCGGUGACAAACCGGAGGAAGGUGGGGAUGACGUCAAGUCCUCAUGGCCCUUAUGGGUAGGGCUUCACACGUCAUACAAUGGUCGGAACAGAGGGUUGCCAAGCCGCGAGGUGGAGCCAAUCCCAGAAAACCGAUCGUAGUCCGGAUCGCAGUCUGCAACUCGACUGCGUGAAGCUGGAAUCGCUAGUAAUCGCGGAUCAGCAUGCCGCGGUGAAUACGUUCCCGGGUCUUGUACACACCGCCCGUCACACCAUGGGAGUGGGUUUUACCAGAAGUGGCUAGUCUAACCGCAAGGAGGACGGUCACCACGGUAGGAU